AUUGAACGCUGGCGGCAGGCUUAACACAUGCAAGCCGAGCGGGGGAAGGUAGCUUGCUACCGGACCUAGCGGCGGACGGGUGAGUAAUGCUUAGGAAUCUGCCCAUUAGUGGGGGACGACAUCUCGAAAGGGAUGCUAAUACCGCAUACGUCCUACGGGAGAAAGCAGGGGAUCUUCGGACCUUGCGCUAAUAGAUGAGCCUAAGUCGGAUUAGCUAGUUGGUGGGGUAAAGGCCUACCAAGGCGACGAUCUGUAGCGGGUCUGAGAGGAUGAUCCGCCAGACUGGGACUAAGACACGGCCCAGAAUCCUACGGGAGGCAGCAGUGAGGAAUAUUGGACGAGGGGGGGAACUCUGAUCCAGCCAUGCGGCGUGUGUGAAGAAGGCCUUAUGGUUGUAAAGCACUUUAAGCGAGGAGGAGGCUACUUUAGUUAAUACCUAGAGAUAGUGGACGUUACUCGCAGAAUAAGCACCGGCUAACUCUGUGCCAGCCGCCGCCGUAA
rnacentral:rRNA from 1 species